rnacentral:misc_RNA from 1 species
UUAAGUUCAGCGGGUAUCCCUACCUGAUCCGAGGUCAACAUUUUGGAGUCGGGGGUUUAACGGCGGGGCCGCGCCGGCCUCCGGUGCGAGUGUGCAAGCUACUGCGCAGGGGAGGCUGCGGCGGGACCGCCACUGCAUUUCGGGGGCGGCGCCUGAGGCGGGGCCGGGUCCCCAACACCGAGCCCCCGGGGGGGGUUCGA